UAUCUUGGAUUAUUUUUACUUUAUCUAUAGAGAAUAUAAUUAAUUCUAUUUUAGGGUCUUCUUCUUUUAUAUUUUCUAAUUUUUGUGUAAUUUUUUCACUUCCUUUUAUCCAUUCUGUUGUCUUUCAUUUUUUGUUAUUUACUCUUUUUGCUCCUAUUUUUUGUUUACAUGGUGUUGUGAACCACCAGUGUGUUUUUGUUAUUAUAUGUGGG
rnacentral:lncRNA from 1 species